rnacentral:rRNA from 1 species
CUACGGGUUGCAGCAGUGAGGAAUAUUGCGCAAUGGGGGAAACCCUGACGCAGCGACGCCGCGUGGAUGAUGAAGGCCUUAGGGUCGUAAAAUCCUGUCAGGUGGGAAGAAGUGGAUAUAGAUUAAUACUCUAUUUCUUUGACGGUACCACCAAAGGAAGCACCGGCUAACUCCGUGCCAGCAGCCGCGGUAAUACGGAGGGUGCAAACGUUGUUCGGAAUUACUGGGCGUAAAGCGCGCGUAGGCGGUUUGUUAAGUCAGAUGUGAAAGUCCAUGGCUCAACUACGGAAGUGCAUUUGAAACUGGCAGACUUGAGUACUGGAGGGGGUGAUGGAAUUCCCGGUGUAGGGGUGAAAUUCGUAGAUAUCGGGAGGAAUACCGGUGGCGAAGGCGAUCACCUGGCCAGAUACUGACGCUGAGGUGCGAAAGCGUGGGGAGCAAACAGGAUUAGAUACCCCUGUAGUC